CCGGCCCCCCCCGCCGCCCGGCCCCGCGCCCGCGGCCCGAGGGCUGCAGCCGGCGCUCCGGGCGCCGAGACUCGUCGCGAGCCGCGUCCGCAGAGCACGCCGGCGCGGCCGUGUGGCAGCAGCGGUGUGACUGACGGGCCGCGGCGCGGGGCCAUCCCGGCCGCGCGGUUCGCGUUACGACUUGGAACCGGCUUCUGCCCCCCGGCCUCGUGCCCGCCCUCUCCCGGGCCGCCGCUUCGCGCCCGGGGAGACGACUGGGCGCCCGACGCCUGCGCCUUCUUCCCUCCCGCGCCUGCCGCGCUGCGGGGCCUCGGGCCGCCCGCCAGGCCCGCUCCCGGCCCGCGCCGCCGUCGGGGGGCUCCGCUCACGGGCCGCCCGGCCCGCGCCGCCGUCGGGGGGCUCCGCUCACGGGCCGCCCGGCCCGCGCCGCCGGAGCUGCCAAAUCUGCAGCUCAGUUUUUCAAAAACCACCUCGUGAUGUGCGCACCCUGGAGCCGCCACCCCCGCCCCGGUGCGAGCUCUUCGCUCCCCAGCCCGGCCCCUCUUCCAGGUGCUUCUCGAGGCCCCCCCGGGCCUCCGCAGACGCCGGCUCCAGCCAGGGGCCCGUCUCCCCGCUGUCGCCCCAACUUCUGCAGCCCGGGAGCUGCUCCCGGACGACGGCGCCUGGACCGCGCCGAGAGUGGGGCUGUGUUUUGUCAACUAGGCAACACCAGACACGCGGACGAGUCCAGAAAAUUAUACUGAUGACACCCACGCCCCCCACUCAAGAGUAAACAUAAAGCGUUUUGCUUCAUUUACUUGGUUUGCGAAAACGACGUCAUGCUGAAUAAUCUUUUGCAACUUCUCUCAUUUCCUGUUACGUUUUGGAGAUUCAUCUGUAGUUUUAGAUAUUGACUAUUCAUUUUCUAUGAUGGAAAAGGACGCUCUGGCUAUUUUGUAUCCUCAACAAAAGUAUGAUCUUCCCUGUUCCCAUUCUUUCAGUGUGGUUAUAUGAUAAUUUUUGCUCUCCAACAGAAUAGUGGAAGACAUGGCUGAGUCUAUGAAUGGUCAGUCUGGGGGGAUCUUCUCUCCUAGAGCACUUGGACUUCUUGCUCCACCCGGACCGGUCGCUCUGUGGGGCCGACUGCGGCCCCCACCAUCAUCCUGAGGGUCCCUUCAUCCCCCAUCCUCUAACCUGCUUCCUGCAUCCCCCGUUGUGCUCGCACUUCAUGUACUCCUUCACUGUAGUGGAGAACAGUCCCCACUAGUUUCCUGAGAAAAAAAAGAGUACAUAAAACAUAAAACCCA